CCCUAGCCCUGAUAGAAGCGGCAUCCUUUCCAGUGCUGAACUUGUGAAACAAGUUCAGCACUGGAAAGAUAGAGCGAAUAGCAGGAAUAGCU
rnacentral:sRNA from 1 species